rnacentral:rRNA from 1 species
UACGAGAGGUGCAAGCGUUAUUCGGAAUUAUUGGGCGUAAAGGGUGCGUAGGCGGUUUGUUAAGUUUGUUGUUAAAGACUUUGGCUUAACUGAAGAAAAGCAACAAAUACUGGCGAACUAGAGGGUGAAAGAGAGAAGUGGAAUUCCCGGAGUAGCGGUAAAAUGCGUAGAUCUCGGGAGGAACACCAAUGGCGAAGGCUGCUUCUUGGUUCACUACUGACGCUGAGGCACGAAAGCUGGGGGAGCGAACAGG